rnacentral:rRNA from 1 species
GGAAACUGCCUGAUGGAGGGGGAUAACUACUGGAAACGGUAGCUAAUACCGCAUAAUGUCGCAAGACCAAAGAGGGGGACCUUCGGGCCUCUUGCCAUCGGAUGUGCCCAGAUGGGAUUAGCUAGUAGGUGGGGUAACGGCUCACCUAGGCGACGAUCCCUAGCUGGUCUGAGAGGAUGACCAGCCACACUGGAACUGAGACACGGUCCAGACUCCUACGGGAGGCAGCAGUGGGGAAUAUUGCACAAUGGGCGCAAGCCUGAUGCAGCCAUGCCGCGUGUAUGAAGAAGGCCUUCGGGUUGUAAAGUACUUUCAGCGGGGAGGAA